rnacentral:rRNA from 1 species
AGAGUUUGAUCAUGGCUCAGAUUGAACGCUGGCGGCGUGCUUAACACAUGCAAGUCGUGCGAGAAAGGGGACUUCGGUCCCUGAGUAGAGCGGCGCACGGGUGAGUAACGCGUGGGUGAUCUACCCGGAAGACUGGGAUAACGGUGGGAAACUGCCGCUAAUACCGGUUACGCUUCCAAUUCACAUUGGAGGGAAAGGCGGCCUCUGCUUGCAAGCUGCCGCUUCCGGAUGAGCCCGCGUCCCAUUAGCUAGUUGGCGGGGUAACGGCCCACCAAGGCAACGAUGGGUAGCUGGUCUGAGAGGAUGAUCAGCCACACUGGGACUGAAACACGGCCCAGACUCCUACGGGAGGCAGCAGUGGGGAAUAUUGCGCAAUGGGGGAAACCCUGACGCAGCGACGCCGCGUGAGGGAAGAAGGCCUUCGGGUCGUAAACCUCUGUCGGGAGGGAAGAACCGCCGGUUUCCGAACAGGGAGCCGGCCUGACGGUACCUCUAGAGGAAGCGCCGGCUAACUCCGUGCCAGCAGCCGCGGUAAUACGGAGGGCGCGAGCGUUAAUCGGAAUCACUGGGCGUAAAGCGCGCGUAGGCGGCCAGAUAAGUCGGGCGUGAAAGCCCUCGGCCCAACCGAGGAACUGCGUUCGAUACUGUUUGGCUUGAGUCCUGGAGAGGGUG